UGAGUCGCGAACGGGGUGAGUAACGCGUAGGUAACCUGCCUAUUACGGGGGAUAACUAUUGGAAACGAUAGCUAAUACCGCAUAAUAUUAAUUAUUGCAUGAUAAUUGAUUGAAAGAUGCAAGCGCAUCACUAGUAGAUGGACCUGCGUCGUAUUAGCUAGUUGGUAAGGUAAGAGCUUACCAAGGCGACGAUACAUAGCCAACCUGAGAGGGUGAUCGGCCACACUGGGACUGAGACACGGCCCAGACUCCUACGGGAGGCAGCAGUAGGGAAUCUUCGGCAAUGGACGAAAGUCUGACCGAGCAACGCCGCGUGAGUGAAGAAGGUUUUCGGAUCGUAAAGCUCU
rnacentral:rRNA from 1 species